GUCCUUUAGAAUAUAGAAUUUAAGGUCUAACCUGCCCACUGAAAUUUUUAAAUGGCCGCAGUAUUUUGACUGUGCAAAGGUAGCAUAAUCAUUAGUUUUUUAAUUAAAAGCUUGUAUGAAUGGUUGGACGAAAUAAAAUCUGUCUCUAUAUAAUAAUUAGAAUUUAAUUUUUAAGUUAAAAAGCUUAAAUUUUAGUAAAAGACGAGAAGACCCUAUAGAUCUUUAUAAAGGAUUUUAUGAUUUUAUUAAAGAUUUAUUUAUUUAUUAUAGUUUUUUUUAUUUUAUUGGGGUAAUAGGAAGAUUAAGUUAAUUCUUUUUAAGAUUUUACAAAAAUUAUUGGUUAUUUGAUCCUUGUUAUUGAUUAUAAGAUUAAGUUACCUUAGGGAUAACAGCGUAAUUUUUUUAGAGAGUUCAUAUCGAUAAAAAAGUUUGCGACCUCGAUGUUGGAUUAAAAAUUAUUUUGGGCGUAGAAGUUCAAAUUUUUGGUCUGUUCGACCAUUAGAUUUUUACAUGAUCUGAGUUCAGACCGGCGUAAGCCAGGUCGGUUUCUAUCUUUAUUUAAUUAAUAUAUUUUAGUACGAAAGGACCAAAUAUGAAAUAUAAUAAUAUUUAUUUUUUGAUUGA
rnacentral:rRNA from 1 species